rnacentral:rRNA from 2 species
ACACAUGCAAGUCGAACGGGGCAGAGAGCUUCGGUUUUCUGCUUAGUGGCGAACGGGUGAGUAACGCGUGAGGAACCUACCUUUCAGUGGGGGACAACAGUUGGAAACGACUGCUAAUACCGCAUGACACUUUUAGGAGACAUCUCCUUUAAGUCAAAGCUUUAUGUGCUGAAAGAUGGCCUCGCGUCUGAUUAGCUAGUUGGUGGGGUAACGGCCCACCAAGGCGACGAUCAGUAGCCGGUCUGAGAGGAUGAACGGCCACAUUGGGACUGAGAUACGGCCCAGACUCCUACGGGAGGCAGCAGUGGGGAAUAUUGGGCAAUGGGGGAAACCCUGACCCAGCAACGCCGCGUGAGGGAAGAAGGCCUUCGGGUUGUAAACCUCUUUUACCAGGGACGAAGGACGUGACGGUACCUGGAGAAAAAGCAACGGCUAACUACGUGCCAGCAGCCGCGGUAAUACGUAGGUUGCAAGCGUUGUCCGGAUUUACUGGGUGUAAAGGGCGUGUAGGCGGAGAUGCAAGUUGGGAGUGAAAUCCCGGGGCUCAACCCCGGAACUGCUUUCAAAACUGUAUCCCUUGAGUAUCGGAGAGGCAAGCGGAAUUCCUAGUGUAGCGGUGAAAUGCGUAGAUAUUAGGAGGAACACCAGUGGCGAAGGCGGCUUGCUGGACGACAACUGACGCUGAGGCGCGAAAGCGUGGGGAGCAAACAGGAUUAGAUACCCUGGUAGUCCACGCUGUAAACGAUGAAUACUAGGUGUGGGAGGACUGACCCCUUCCGUGCCGCAGUUAACACAAUAAGUAUUCCACC